rnacentral:sRNA from 1 species
GCGGUGAGGAGAAUAGAAAACUUGCCCUCACUUAAGAUGGCCACAUCCUGCCUUUGUCCUCAUUGGUAAAUUGGCUCUUUCAGCUUCCGUGACCCGCCUCCCUUCUUCCUCCUGCCCGUAGUAGCCAUGGCGGCCAUGAGUUUGUUGCGGCGGGUUUCGGUUACUGCGGUGGCAGCUCUGUCUGGCCGCCCCCUUGGCACUCGCCUCGGAUUUGGGGGCUUCCUCACUCGUGGCUUUCCGAAGGCUGCUGCUCCUGUUCGACACAGUGGAGACCAUGGGAAAAGACUAUUUGUCAUCAGACCUUCUAGAUUCUAUGACAGGCGUUUUUUGAAGUUAUUGAGAUUCUACAUUGCAUUAACUGGGAUUCCAGUAGCAAUUUUCAUAACUCUGGUGAAUGUAUUCAUUGGUCAAGCUGAACUAGCAGAAAUUCCAGAAGGCUAUGUCCCAGAACACUGGGAAUAUUAUAAGGUUUGUAUAGGACAUUGACAAUUACAUACUGUUACAUGCCUUGUCAACGCACUAGUUAAUGUCUUAAUUCAGCAAUUAUGAUAUAGUCAGGUUUUUUGUUUUGUUUUUUUGAGACAGCAUCUUGCUCUGUCGCCCAGGCUGGAGUGCAGUGGCGCGAUUUCGUCUCACUGCAACUUCUGCCUCCCGCAUUCAAGCGAUUCUCAUGCCUCAGUCUCCCACGUCGCUGGGAUCACAGGUGUGUGCUGCCACUCCUGGCUAAUUUUUGUAUUUUUAGUAGAGACAGGAUUUCACCAUGUUGGCCAGGCUUUUCUGGAACUCCUGGCCUCAAGUGAUCCACCCACCUCAGCCUCCCAAAGUCCUGGGAUUAAAGGUG